rnacentral:rRNA from 1 species
GAUGAACGCUGGCGGCGUGCUUAACACAUGCAAGUCGAACGAUGAUGCCCAGCUUGCUGGGUGGAUUAGUGGCGAACGGGUGAGUAACACGUGAGUAACCUGCCCUUUACUCUGGGAUAAGCCUGGGAAACUGGGUCUAAUACCGGAUACGACCAUCUGGCGCAUGUCAUGGUGGUGGAAAUCUUUUGUGUUUUUGGAUGGACUGGCGGCCUAUCAGUUUGUUGGUGGGGUAUUGGCCUACCAAGGCGACGCCGGGUAGCCGGCCUGAGAGGGUGACCGGCCACACUGGGACUGAGAGACGGCCCAGACUCCUACGGGAGGCAGCAGUGGGGAAUAUUGCACAAUGGGCGCAAGCCUGAUGCAGCGACGCCGCGUGUGGGAUGACGGCCUUCGGGUUGUAAACCUCUUUCAGUAGGGAAGAAGCGAAAGUGACGGUACCUGCAGAAGAAGCGCCGGCUAACUACGUG